UAGGAAUUUGAUGUUUAAACAUAUUCUCAAGAAGAGAAGAUUUCAUCAGAGGACCAUUCGGAUGGCAGUGCUGCAGUCCUCGCCUGCAGAUGCUCCUGACUCUUAGUCCCUGUGAAGGCACAGAUGAAGAGGAAUUCUCACAACGCAACCACGGCAUGAAACCAAAACUUCACCUAUUGCCAAAAUCUGAGAGGAAGUUUUGGUAACUGGAAGAACGGUCACCUUAUCACUUCUUCCCUCCAAGUGCACUCCCUUGAGAGGGUCCGAACCACAAAAACCUGGGACAGAGCUACACUGUUCUUCUUGUCACCCCCCAAGUCCCACAUACAUGGUAAAGGCAGUCGAAGGGAUACUAGGCAGGAAGAGAGUGGUUGUGUACAGUGUUUACUGGAGAUUUCAUGUUGCGUUCUAGCAACCAUGCUCCAUACAAGUCAAGUCCUGCAAAAAAGGAUGCCCGGAGACCUGGUAUCACUCCUUUCUGUGACCUAUAGUGUCUUGACUCCACUGUGAAGAGGAUGGGAGAGCUAGUGAAUGUGACAGGUAGUGGAAAGUCCCACUUCAAUGCAGAGGGACCUCAUUAAAAGGUUAAAAGCUACUACUUUAAAAGAUUAAAAGCUACUAGUAUUAGUAUAAAAAGCUACUAGUAUACUGAGAUUAAAAGCUACUAGUAUACUGAGAGUGGGCCCAAGAACAUGUUUAUCUACUUGCCAUAACAUUAUAGAUCAUAGAGAGAGAUUGUAUUGGAACAGAGCUGGGGCGGGGGCAAGGGUUAAUUUGCUCAUUUGCAAUAACUAAAUGUUUUCUAUCAAUACAUGUUGAGAGUCUAGACAGACAUGAAUUACUCAGUGUUGAGU